UACGGAGGGUGCAAGCGUUUAAUCGGAAUUACUGGGCGUAAAGGGUGCGUAGGCGGUUGUUUAAGUCUGUUGUGAAAUCCCCGGGCUCAACCUGGGAAUGGCAAUGGAUACUGGGCAGCUAGAGUGUGUCAGAGGAUGGUGGAAUUCCCGGGUGUAGCGGUGAAAUUCGUAGAUAUCGGGAGGAACACCAGUGGCGAAGGCGGCUCUCUGGACAGAUACUGACGCUGAGGAGCGAAAGCGUGGGGAGCGAACAGG
rnacentral:rRNA from 1 species